GUCGCGGUUAGACGAAUAAUACAAGUAAAUUUUAUAGGAAUGAGUUAAAUUGAUUUUUAUUUAUUUAUAAUUUAUUUAUUAGGUGAAAUUUUAAAUAAAUUUAAUUAAUUAUAUUUGUUGUUGAAGCUUGUAAAUUUUAUUAAAAAACUAGGAUUAGAUACCCUAUUAUUUAAAAUUAAAAUUUAUUUCUUAGGUAGUAAUAGUUAUGAUCUUGAAACUUAAAAAAUUUGGCGGUAUUUUAGUCUAUCCAGAGGAACCUGUUCUGUAAUCGAUAAUCCGCGUUGGACCUUACUUAAUAAUGUUUUCAGUUUAUAUACCGUCGUUAUAAGAAUAUUUUAUUAGAAUAAUAAUUUUCUUUAAUUUUUAUUAAAAUUUAUAUCAGAUCAAGGUGUAGCUAAUGAUUAAGUAGAAAUGGGUUACAAUAAAUUUAUUUAAACGGACAUAAUAUGCAAUUAUUUUGUGAAGGUGGAUUUGGUAGUAAAAUUAUUCAUAAUAUUAGUUUGAUUUUAGCUCUAAAAUAUGC
rnacentral:rRNA from 1 species